UCCGCCGUGGGGUAGCGGCAUCCCGCAGGCCUUUGGAGCCUUGAGACGCUGGUUCGAAUCCAGCCGGCGGAGCCA
rnacentral:tRNA from 5 species